rnacentral:rRNA from 1 species
GCAGCAGUGGGGAAUAUUGCACAAUGGGCGCAAGCCUGAUGCAGCAACGCCGCGUGAGGGACGACGGCCUUCGGGUUGUAAACCUCUUUUAGCAGGGAAGAAGCGAAAGUGACGGUACCUGCAGAAAAAGCACCGGCUAACUACGUGCCAGCAGCCGCGGUAAUACGUAGGGUGCAAGCGUUGUCCGGAAUUAUUGGGCGUAAAGAGCUCGUAGGCGGUUUGUCACGUCUGCUGUGAAAUCCCGAGGCUCAACCUCGGGCUUGCAGUGGGUACGGGCAGACUAGAGUGCGGUAGGGGAGAUUGGAAUUCCUGGUGUAGCGGUGGAAUGCGCAGAUAUCAGGAGGAACACCGAUGGCGAAGGCAGAUCUCUGGGCCGUAACUGACGCUGAGGAGCGAAAGCAUGGGGAGCAAACAGGCUUAGAUACCCUGGUAGUCCAUGCCGUAAACGUUGGGAACUAGAUGUGGGGACCAUUCCACGGUGUCCGUGUCGUAGCUAACGCAUUAAGUUCCCCGCCUGGGGAGUACGGCCGCAAGGCUAAAACUCAAAGGAAUUGACGGGGGCCCGCACAAGCGGCGGAGCAUGCGGAUUAAUUCGAUGCAACGCGAAGAACCUUACCAAGGCUUGACAUAUACGAGAACGCACUGGAGACAGUGAACUCUUUGGACACUCGUAUAC